rnacentral:rRNA from 1 species
AUUGAACGCUGGCGGCAUGCUUUACACAUGCAAGUCGAACGGGCCAGGGGGCAACUCCUGGUCAGUGGCGAACGGGUGAGUAAUACAUCGGAACGUACCCCGUAGUGGGGGAUAACUCGGCGAAAGCCGUGCUAAUACCGCAUAUGCUCUACGGAGGAAAGCAGGGGACCGCAAGGCCUUGUGCUAUGGGAGCGGCCGAUGUCCGAUUAGCUAGUUGGUGGGGUAAUGGCCUACCAAGGCGACGAUCGGUAGCUGGUCUGAGAGGAUGAUCAGCCACACUGGGACUGAGACACGGCCCAGACUCCUACGGGAGGCAGCAGUGGGGAAUUUUGGACAAUGGGGGCAACCCUGAUCCAGCCAUGCCGCGUGCGGGAAGAAGGCCU